rnacentral:rRNA from 1 species
CUACAGAGGGUGCGAGCGUUAAUCGGAAUUACUGGGCGUAAAGCGCGCGUAGGCGGCUUAUUAAGUCAGAUGUGAAAUCCCCGGGCUCAACCUGGGAACUGCAUCUGAUACUGGUAAGCUAGAGUUUUGGAGAGGGAAGUAGAAUUUCAGGUGUAGCGGUGAAAUGCAUAGAGAUCUGAAGGAAUACCAGUGGCGAAGGCGACUUCCUGGCCAAAAACUGACGCUGAGGUGCGAAAGCGUGGGUAGCAAACAGGAUUAGAAACCCUAGUAGUCC